GUGUGCGUGUGUGUAUAUACGAUCGAUCAGGGACAGAGGGUGAGAUGAAACCCUAGUUUCACCAAAAUCCAUCAAAUUGAAGGGGGAUUGAAGGGCUAAACUAAUGCAUGAACCAAGAUUUUUGAUCACUUUAGCGUUUCUACCAUCAUGUAAGUCGAAUUUUGGAACGUGUCAAGGAGAGGUCAAGCAUAGGAGGAUAACGGGUCAAGAUAAGGCAAGGUGACAAAUACACUUAUUGGAGUACUCGAGGUAAGUGAAUUUCGAUUCACUUUUUAGUAGGUUUAAUAGAUUUUAAUACUUAUGUUUACGAAACAUCAUGAAAGAACAUGUAAUAAUCAGAAGUACAAAGCCAAUAAUGCCUCAUUAUUGAAGAAGGUUGUAUUUAAGCCGAAAGUAAAUUGGUGGGUUCAAACGGGUCGAAUUUUAUGUGCAUAUGUUGCGUAAUGUAAUGAAAUUCGUUAUGGUUAAGACCUUGGGUAAGAAUUUUUAGUCAUUAUGUAAGGGGAACAUUUCCCGGACCAUUAGGAACAAGUUUUAUACGAUUCGGUUGUCGGUUAGUGAAUGAACAGAUUGUUUCGUGUUAGUGUAGGAAAUUUUAUAAGUGUAUGUGUAUAGGAAUCCAAAGGGCACGUGGGUUGAAUCAUAGAUUGUCUAUACUAUGUAAAGUUGUGAAUGUGACAUUCUGGCAUAAACCUACAUGUAAAAGAAGCUUGUGUAUAUAUUCGUGAUUAACUGAUUGUGCGUAGGAAGGAACAUUGGCAUGUAUGAAGGUACGCAUGUAUAUAUAUAAGUGUAUAUAUAUAUAUAUGUAUGUAUGUAUGAUAAUAAGUACGUAGGUGUGAAUGUAUGUGUGAAUGAAUGUUCAAUGCUUAAGACAUAUGCAUGAACGUUAUCAAAGUGUUAGAGUAUUUAUGGUUACUAAUGAUGUGCGUUGAGUUGGAAUGUAAUGUAGGUAUGGGAUCGUUGGCUUCAUGAAGAAAUGGAGCUGGAUUUGGAUAAGAGUAUUUAAGAAAGCGCUUGGACAAUUCCACGACUACUUUAUAGAAUGCUCUACGAAAUUCUAUUAUAUAGUUUAAUGUUGUAUGGUAUGUUAAUGACUAAUGGUUUGGUUGUACGUGGUGUCCACAGGUAUCGCUUGGGUUUUCUUUACAUUUAUUGAAGUGAAGCGGACAUAGUUCGAGUUGAGAGCAAGGAUUGUACGGGGUAGAAUGGUCACAUAGUGUAACUCAUAUAGGUUUUGAAGUAUUAAUGUUAUAAAACGUUAUAAAUCCGUUUUAAUGAAUAUAUGGCAUUUCGCAUUUGAACCUUCAUGUGUUUGAUAUGUCUAUUAAAGAACGAAAUUUUUGG
rnacentral:lncRNA from 1 species